rnacentral:rRNA from 2 species
GUCGAACGCGUCUUGGUUAUUGAUGUUAAGUGCUUGCAUUUAACUGAUUUAACAUUGAGACGAGUGGCGAACUGGUGAGUAACACGUGGGUAACCUGCCCUUGAAGUAGGGGAUAACACUUGGAAACAGGUGCUAAUACCGUAUAACAACCAAAACCACCUGGUUUUGGUUUAAAAGAUGGCUUCGGCUAUCACUUUAGGAUGGACCCGCGGCGUAUUAGCUUGUUGGUAAGGUAACGGCCUACCAAGGCAAUGAUACGUAGCCGACCUGAGAGGGUAAUCGGCCACAUUGGGACUGAGACACGGCCCAAACUCCUACGGGAGGCAGCAGUAGGGAAUCUUCCACAAUGGACGAAAGUCUGAUGGAGCAACGCCGCGUGAGUGAUGAAGGGUUUCGGCUCGUAAAACUCUGUUGUUGGAGAAGAACAGGUGUGAGAGUAACUGUUCACAUCUUGACGGUAUCCAACCAGAAAGCCACGGCUAACUACGUGCCAGCAGCCGCGGUAAUACGUAGGUGGCAAGCGUUGUCCGGAUUUAUUGGGCGUAAAGCGAGCGCAGGCGGUUUCUUAGGUCUGAUGUGAAAGCCUUCGGCUUAACCGGAGAAGUGCAUCGGAAACCAGGAGACUUGAGUGCAGAAGAGGACAGUGGAACUCCAUGUGUAGCGGUGAAAUGCGUAGAUAUAUGGAAGAACACCAGUGGCGAAGGCGGCUGUCUGGUCUGUAACUGACGCUGAGGCUCGAAAGCAUGGGUAGCGAACAGGAUUAGAUACCCUGGUAGUCCAUGCCGUAAACGAUGAGUGCUAAGUGUUGGAGGGUUUCCGCCCUUCAGUGCUGCAGCUAACGCAUUAAGCACUCCGCCUGGGGAGUACGACCGCAAGGUUGA